CAAGUGUCCUGAUGAAGGAGGGCAUUUCAGACACCCGCUGUAGCCGUCAGCCACGGGACGAGAACAGGAAGCCGUGCUGUUGGAGUCUAGUGAGGAGGGCAGGCAGAUGGGCAUUUUGAAGCUAUUGAAUUGUACUGGUGUGGCAAGCAGCAAGAGGGAGAGGUCGCUGUCCAGGCUAGACUCCAUGGGAGCUCACUGGUUCUCUACUGCCUUACAAGCAUGCAAUCCUCAGAGACUGCCAUCAAGGAUUUCCACUGGCUGUACAUCUUCCGUGAUACUUCAGCCUGAAACCCAUCCCUAAUUGUUUUCAAGCCCUGGAUGAACGCUCUAUAUUCCAGUUCCCUUAUACAGACACUCAUUUAUCACAGCUACACCACCGUUUUGCCAGAUGACUCAGCCUCUUCUUAAUAUAUUUAGAUA